rnacentral:rRNA from 1 species
AUUGAACGCUGGCGGAAUGCUUUACACAUGCAAGUCGAGCGGCAGCGCGGGGCAACCUGGCGGCGAGCGGCGAACGGGUGAGUAAUGCAUCGGAACGUACCCCGUCGUGGGGGAUAACUACCCGAAAGGGUAGCUAAUACCGCAUACGACCUGAGGGUGAAAGCGGGGGACCGAAAGGCCUCGCGCGAUGGGAGCGGCCGAUGCCGGAUUAGCUAGUUGGUAGGGUAAAGGCCUACCAGGGCGACGAUCCGUAGCUGGUCUGAGAGGACGACCAGCCACACUGGAACUGAGACACGGUCCAGACUCCUACGGGAGGCAGCAGUGGGGAAUUUUGGACAAUGGGCGAAAGCCUGAUCCAGCCAUUCCGCGUGAGUGAAGAAGGCC